rnacentral:tRNA from 1 species
GGCUCUGUGGCGCAAUGGAUAGCGCAUUGGACUUCUAGUUGCCAAGGUGGAGGUAUUCAAAGGUUGUGGGUUCGAGUCCCACCAGAGUCG